AGGUGUGCCAAGAUUGGCCUGUGUUUUGUGGCUGUAAGAACUUUGUCUCCUAUUCCUUUGACUGGUAUAUGUGCAUAAGCUUUACAGCCGAAGACAUGGAGAUGGUUGACAGCUGGCUUUUUUCUGGACCACGCCUCCAGUGCCGUUUUACCUUUUACAGCUACGGUGGAUGUAAGAUAUACUGCAGUAGACACUGUUUCCACCCAAAAGCUUUUCUCCAUGCCUGCGUCACUCAACAUAGUCCGUGAUCUCUCAACAAUUCUACGAUUUGCACUCUCACUCAUACCAUUUUGUUCUGGCAUGUAGCAAUUGUUUGUUGAUGCUGUAUGCCAUAUUUUUUCAGGAACUGUGCUAAAACUCUGUUGUCAUACUCUCCGCCAUUGUCGGAUUUCAAGACUUUUAAUUUCAGACCGGUCUGAGGGGGUCAUUCUGACCCGAUCGCAGCGUGCUUUCGUUCGCACAGCUACGACCGGGUCACUACUGCGCACGCACGGGGGCCGUAAUGCGCACUCGCGUGGUUGCCCGGCGGCAAAGAUGCUGACAGCCUAAAAAGUGGUCGCAGUGGCGACGCAAGAAGAUUGACUGCAGGAAGGCGUUCCGGGGUGUCAACUGACCGUUAGAGACCAUUUUCGGGGAGUGAAAAGAAAAAUACAGGCAUGUCCAGGCGAACGGAGGGCAGAUGUCUGACGUCAAAGCCGAGCCCAUGAUCGCAGGAUCCGUCGCACAGGCAUACGCCUCAAGUUUAUUCUUCUCAUCAGAUCUUUGUCCCCAUACUCCAUGUCCAGAGCUACCCACAUGUUUUGGCUGACACUUUUCCGCUGAUAAUGAAGUAGACGUGUUGUUCCACAGCCAAGCCUAUCAUCCAGAUGGCUCUAUCCACUUCGACUGAGUUUGGAUCUGCUCCUGGCUCAGUUGUAACUUUCCACAACUUUUCCUGCUUAACCUGCAUCUCCAUGUUGAAUUUCCAUGUUGUGUAUUUCUCUGAGCCUUUCAGCUUUGUAAAGU